GGAAAUGCAACAUUUUACUGAGAUACAAAAACAUUACUGAGAGAUCAUGUAUGGUGUUGUUUGUAACAGUAACUUCUGAAUCUCCCUUACCAUCUCAGUACUCACCUUCUUUGACAGAGACGAAGGAGAAGGCCGCACACAACGACAGAGUGACAGCAUGCAUGACAAGUAUCUGUUUAUUCCUGUCAGUCUCUGAUGGUGUCUGACUAAAAAUAUAUGUCUACAUGCUACUAAGUAGUUAUCUUAUUUGAUGAGUCCAUUAACAAACCCCAGCGAACACAAAAGCAUGGAUUGAGUAAUGUUUUCUCAGAACUGGGUGAGUUCACUUUACAUUUAUUUCACAUUUAUAACAUUAUUAUUCAUGUGUUGGUAUCUUUAUUUUAACUGUAUUAUUUUACUUCGAGACUCAAAUAGCCUCUGAUAUUUAGAAAUUGUUGCAUCGUCUACCGAGUCAGUAAUGAAGGGGAUGACUAUGAAUGUAAAGGAGAAAUGUGGGUUGUAAAACAAAAACUUAAAUCUGACUGCAAAUCCUUUUAACGCAGUUCCACUACACGGUCCCAACUUCACCCCAAGUUAGGGCCAUGCUGGCAAUACACUGUAUGAUUUGCAAAUUACUCUGUUUGUGCUUGCCAAUGUUUGUGUGUGUGUUAGUGUGUGAGAAACAUUUUAGGAGAUUAGAUGGUCAUUAUGUGUAUCAUAGAGAAUUUUCUCUGAGUGGCCCCUACACCUCACUCCACCCAACCCCCCUCCUGCCCCAGAGCUCAGUCCUCUCAGCUGACUCGGCUUUGUGGAACACUGUGAAGGGAGUUCUAUGCGUCUUUUAUAACAAAUUACUCACCCUCAACAAAACAAGAACAGACUGCACAUCUGCCUACCUCACACACACAGACACGCCAUGACUUAAUAAAGUGAUGAAAGGAGAACCGGACUAUAAACACCGGGGGGACUUUCACUGGAUUUUAAACCUGAAAUUGGUGGACUAAAUAUUUUGUUCUUGUGGGAUUCUUUUACAUUGUGGGAUGUAAAUAGACAUAUAUUUUUGGUAUUCGUAACAAAAUGAUGACUCAAUCACUGUGGGGUGAUACAGGCUUUUUACAUUUUUUUAUCUGUCACAUUGAGCUUUCCUGCUGAAACGUUUCAAAGUGACCUUUUCUCCUUUCACAUUCCAACAAGCAUGUUGUUGAUGUGCUCUUAACAACAACACUUGACUACACUGGAGUAGGUCUUAGGAUGUGGGUGCUCAAUGUUUCCCUGGAAGACUGAAACGGAACUUGAACCAAAGAUGACAGACCUCACCGAAGUAUCUGUUUACUCAGAAUCCUCUGACAUUUACAAGAAUGUUUUCUGCAACCCCGCGUUUGAGCUUGAUGGUGAGCGUGAGGAGAAAGUGGAAGGAUUCAGUUCUGCCAGUACUGCCAUGGCCCUAGAGCCAGUAAAGAGCCCAGCUGCAAUCAGUGAGUCUGACAACCUAGUUUCCCUGUUCCAUAACAUCACACCGGAGUUGGAUACGCAACAAGAUUGGUUGAUUCAGAUGCCAAGACCUAUUCAAUUUGAUCUAGCUGUUGUAUUACACCAUUGGAAAGUGGAAACAAAGAUUCUAGGAGGGACAGGAAGGUUCUAACUAAAAGUAAAAAAAAAAAAAAAAAAA